AAUCAACGCUGGCGGCGUGCCUAACACAUGCAAGUCGAACGAGAAAGUGGAGCAAUCCAUGAGUAAAGUGGCGACCGGGUGAGUAACACGUGACUAACCUACCUUUCAGUGGGGAAUAACCUCGGGAAACCGGGGCUAAUACCGCAUAAUGUCUUCGGACCAAAGGAGCAAUUCGCUGGAAGAGGGGGUCGCGGCCGAUUAGCUAGUUGGCGGGGUAACGGCCCACCAAGGCAAUGAUCGGUAGCCGGCCUGAGAGGGCGCACGGCCACACUGGAACUGAAACACGGUCCAGACUCCUACGGGAGGCAGCAGUGGGGAAUUUUGCGCAAUGGGGGAAACCCUGACGCAGCAACGCCGCGUGGAGGAUGAAGCCCCUUGGGGUGUAAACUCCUUUCGAUCGGGACGAUGAUGACGGUACCGGAUGAAGAAGCACCGGCUAACUCUGUGCCAGCAGCCGCGGUAAUACAGAGGGUGCAAGCGUUGUUCGGAAUUAUUGGGCGUAAAGGGUGCGUAGGCGGUGCGGUAAGUCCGUUUAAAUCUCCGGGCUCAACUCGGAGCCUGCAACGGAAACUGCCG
rnacentral:rRNA from 1 species